rnacentral:rRNA from 1 species
GAUGAACGCUAGCGGCAGGCUUAACACAUGCAAGUCGAGGGGUAGAGGCUUUCGGGCCUUGCGACCGGCGCACGGGUGCGUAACGCGUAUGCAAUCUGCCUUGUACUGGGGGAUAGCCCAGAGAAAUUUGGAUUAAUACCCCAUAGUAUUUUCGGUUGGCAUCAACUGAUUAUUAAAGUUUUUCGGUACAAGAUGAGCAUGCGUCCCAUUAGCUAGUGGGUAUGGUAACGGCAUACCAAGGCUACGAUGGGUAGGGGUCCUGAGAGGGAGAUCCCCCACACUGGUACUGAGAGAAGGACCAGACUCCUACGGGAGGCAGCAAUGAUGAGUAUUGGUCAAUGGUCGCAAGACUGAACCAGCCAUGCCGCGUGCAGGAUGAAGCAUCUAUGGUGUGUAAACUGCUUUUGUACGGGAAGAAACACUCCUACGUGUAGGGGCUUGACGGUACCGUAAGAAUAAGGAUCGGCUAACUCCGUGCCAGCCGCCGCAGUAAAAC